UACGGGGGGGGGCAAGCGUUGUUCGGAAUUACUGGGCGUAAAGAGCGCGCAGGCGGUCGUUCAAGUCGAGUGUGAAAGCCCCCGGCUCAACUGGGGAGGGUCAUUCGAUACUGAUCGACUCGAAGGCAGGAGAGGGAAGUGGAAUUCCCGGUGUAGUGGUGAAAUGCGUAGAUAUCGGGAGGAACACCAGUGGCGAAGGCGACUUCCUGGCCUGUUCUUGACGCUGAGGCGCGAAAGCUAGGGGAGCAAACGGG
rnacentral:rRNA from 1 species